AAAAGUCGUAACAAGGUUUCCGUAGGUGAACCUGCGGAAGGAUCAUUAUUGAAUUCAAAUCAUCUGUGGCUUCGGUCCGGAUGUGCCAACAGGUAACACUGUUGGUAAUUCUAUCCAUAACACCUGUGAACUGUUGGAUGCUUGCAUCCACUUUUAUACUAAACAUUAUUGUAACAAAUGUAGUCUUAUUAUAACAUAAUAAAACUUUUAACAACGGAUCUCUUGGCUCUC
rnacentral:misc_RNA from 1 species